AACGAACGCUGGCGGCAGGCCUAACACAUGCAAGUCGAACGCUGUAGCAAUACAGAGUGGCAGACGGGUGAGUAACGCGUGGGAACCUUCCCAAUGGUACGGAAUAGCCCAGGGAAACUUGGGGUAAUACCGUAUACGCCCCUAGGGGGAAAGAUUUAUCGCCAUUGGAUGGGCCCGCGUCGGAUUAGCUAGUUGGUGAGGUAAUGGCUCACCAAGGCAACGAUCCGUAGCUGGGUUGAGAGAAUGACCAGCCAAACUGGGACUGAGAACCGGCCCAGGCUCCUACGGGAGGCAGCAGUGGGGAACUCUGGACAAUGGGGGCAAGCCUGAUCCAGCCAUGCCGCGUGAGUGAAGAAGGCCUUAGAGUUGUAAAGCUCUUUUGCCGGGGACGAUAAUGACGGUACCCGGAGAAUAAGUCCCGGCUAACUUCGUGCCAGCCGCCGCAGUAA
rnacentral:rRNA from 1 species